UAAUGCAGGGCUGUCCAACCUGCGGCCCCCCAGAUGUAGCUAAACUACAACUCCCAUGAUUCCCGGGCUAUCUGUUUAAUUGAAAGAAUCAUGGGAGUUGUAGUUCAGCAACAUCUGGGGGCCGCAGGUUGGACAGGCCCGAUUUA